UGCCAGACUCCUACGGGAGGCAGCAGUGGGGAAUAUUGCACAAUGGGGGAAACCCUGAUGCAGCGACGCCGCGUGAGCGAUGAAGUAUUUCGGUAUGUAAAGCUCUCUCAGCAGGGAAGAAGAUGACGGUACCUGACUAAGAAGCCCCGGCUAACUACGUGCCAGCAGCCGCGGUAAUACGUAGGGGGCAAGCGUUAUCCGGAUUUACUGGGUGUAAAGGGAGCGUAGACGGCGAUGCAAGCCAGAUGUGAAAGCCCGGGGCUCAACCCCGGGACUGCAUUUGGAACUGUGUGGCUGGAGUGUCGGAGAGGCAGGCGGAAUUCCUAGUGUAGCGGUGAAAUGCGUAGAUAUUAGGAGGAACACCAGUGGCGAAGGCGGCCUGCUGGACGAUGACUGACGUUGAGGCCCGAAAGCGUGGGGAGCAAACAGGAUUAGAUACCCGCGUA
rnacentral:rRNA from 1 species